AAAUAAAGGAACUGUGGAAGCAAAGUAUACUUGGAUAGAAACAUUGGUUAAUAUUUGCCACAAGAGUUAGCUUCUUAUACAAAGUUUUAGCAAUCUUGUAAUCUAGGGUUUUGAAGUUUUCCCUCAACUAUUCUACAUGGCGUUCUGGGGAGUUGAAGUGAAACCAGGCAGACCUUUCACUCAUGCCGCUAGUGCUGCAAGAGGAAGGCUUCACAUUUCUCAGGCUACUUUGGGGAUUGGCACGUCAACAAGCAAAAGUCUGCUACAAUGUAAUGUAGUUCUUUUCCCUCUGUUUGCCCUUGAGAGUAUUUCUGGUUCUAUGUGACGAUGGCUUCAGCCGCACAAUUCAGAUGCUAAGACAUACAUGGGAGCUCGCUCAAGAGGUUGGACUAGGAAUCGGGUUUUCUGGUUACCCAUUUCCUAAUUUUUUUCUUUUCAAGCCAUGAUUUUUUGAAAUAAAAGUGUUGAAUGUAUUGAUGUAGAGGUGCCAAGGAGGCACCAUCCAUCUGCAAAAUUAUUUACAAAUCUAUUAAGCUAUUGAUCACAAAACCAAGAUCAUCUAGAUAGUCAAUCUCUAGCUUUCUAUCACAUAGAACACUCUCUUCUGUAAUUAUUACUGAUGGGUCAAUCUAUAAUAUUGAGAGUUCUGAGACUAUAUAUUGAGAGUUCUGAGACUCUAAAACCAACUCUUUUCAUUACCUUGACAUCUGUUUUAAGUUUACCUAAACUUGCUUUCAAUUUGAUUUCUGUAAGUAGACUUACCAAAGAAUUUAAUUGUUGUAUCUCAUUCUUCCUUUAUCAUUGUCUUUUUCAAAAUCUUAUGACGAAGCAGAUUAUUGGUAAAUGACAUAUAUCAUAAGGUCUCUACAUUUUUUAUACUCAGACCAGUUUUCUGCUCUAGUGUGAUAUCUCUAUUUGGAGUACAUUGUUAGUUGGGACAUUCAUCUUUUACUGUGUUAAAAAAGUUGUGUUAUCAGUUUCAUCCUAUAUCUUCAUUAGAUUGUGAGUCGUGUCAAUUUGCAAAACAUCAUCGUAACUUGUCGAGUUUGAGAAUUAAUAAACGAGCUGAGUCUACUUUUGAAUUAGUUUAUUCUCAUAUAUAGGGUCUAUGUCUUAUUAUGUCAAAAAUAAAGUUUAAAUAUUUUGUUACUUUUGUGGAUGAUUUUUCUCGAAUGACUUAAAUGUACUUUAUGAAAAAUCAUUUUGAAGUGUUUACUCAUUUUUGUGCUUUUCAUGUAGAAAUCAAAACUCAAUUUAAUGUGUCUGUGCAUUUGUUAAGAAGUGCUAAUGUAGAGAAUAUAUGUCAGAUUCAUUUCAGAAUUAUAUGACUCAAUAUGGAUUCUUCAUUAGUUUUCAUAUGUCGAUACACCAUCUCAAAACGAGGUUGUGAAAAAAAGAACAGACAUUUACUUGAAACUGCUCAAGCUCUUUUAUUUCAGACAUAAGUUCCUAAGCAAUUCUGGGCAGAUGUUGUAUCAACUGCAUGUUUUAUGAUUAAUCGUUUACUAUCUACAGUACUUGAAAGUGAUAUUCCUUACAGUAUUCUUUUUUCAAACAAGUAAUUAUUUUUAAUACAGCCGCGAGUAUUUGGUACUACUUGUUAUAUUCGAGAUGUGCGACCCAGUAUUAGUAAGUUGGAUUCUAAAGACUUGAUUGUAUCCUUUUAGAAUAUUCUCGCUUGCAAAAGAAAUACUGAUAUUACUUUCCAGAUUUCAAUAAAUAUCUUGUAUUAGUCGAUAUAGUUUUUUCAGAAAAUAUACCGUUUUUCUCAUCACAAUCCAGUUCUACAGAUCGGGUGAAUGACAAUGAAUGACUCAUUUGUAGAUUCCAACACAAUACCACUACGGAGCAACAAGAAGACAACAGACUGAUAAUACAUGUCCUAUACCAGCUUAUUCACCAUUUGAUGCUACCACCUAUGAUCUUGAUCUUUCCAUCAAUCUUCGUAAAGGUCAGCAUUCGCUAUGUCGGCAAAGUAAAGGAGAAUGGAGAGGUUUUCUGUUCUAAUAUCUCCAAAGCUGCAUUCAAAUUUCAACUAGGUGCAGGAGAUGUCAUAGAGGGUUGGAAUGUCGGUAUUGAUGGUAUGCGGGUUGGUGGUAAAAGUCGAUUGACUGUUCCACCUAUUUUGGGGUCUGCAAAUCGCACUCCUUUUGUGUAAAUAGGGAUGCGUUCAUAAGAACAUAUUUGCAAUGUAAUCUUUCUGAGCGUAUCAUGACUUGUCUCUUAUUUAUGUUUUGCAGUUAUGGAAGUGAAGGAGCUGCCGGGAUUGUACCACCAAAUUCAUGGCUUGUAUUUGAAUUUGAAUUGGUUAAAGUCCGAUAACUGUGUCUUCAAUGGCUGUUGCUUCAGGGGCUUGAUUAGUUGUUUUGGCCUUUUCCUAAAUAUCAUACUUUGCAGAAGCAGUUUUGAACUUUUAGUUGGAUAGCCACUAACAAAUGUAAACUUAUCAUAGUGCAAACUUAAUGAAGCAAGCGGAAAGAGCAA